rnacentral:pre_miRNA from 1 species
UUUUAACUAUAAGUAGUCCCAUGCAAUAUUUGGGACAUACUUAUAAUAAAA